CGUGAGAGGGCACGGGGAAAAGGUGGCUCUGGCCGGGGUGGCUCGGUUUCCUGGGGCUAUGUAACUGAGCUCGUCGACUUGGGGGUGCUUCUUCGCUGCCCUCGCCGCGUGCUAGCAGGGAGUUUCUGCUCGGGAGAGAGACUGUCCUCACGCCCGCUGCGCCUCCCCGACGGCAGAGCAGGCUUGCUCGCCCGUGGGAGCGUCCCGGCCGAGAAGCCCUGAGGGGGGAAGGGAGGCCAUUUUGUCCCGACCGACUCCCCGGAACCGGGCGGAGCGGCUGGGAGAGGCUGCGGAGCCGCAGUCGCCGCCCUCGCCGCUCUCGGAGGCACUGGACCCCGCCACUGUCGGGGCUUCCUCGAAGCUGUUCGUAGGUCGCCCGCGCCCUCUCGAGCCUUCCUUUUUCCCACGCUUCCCCGGUCCUCCGGCCUGAGAACGCCCGAGUGAGGACUUGGCCGUAGUGAGAGGGACCGAUCCCUUGGGGCCGCCGGCGGCGAGAGCCCGAGCCGCUCCUCCCAAUGGCGAAGAAGACGUACGACCUGCUUUUCAAGCUGCUCCUGAUCGGGGAUUCCGGAGUGGGGAAGACCUGCGUCCUUUUUCGCUUUUCGGAUGAUGCCUUCAAUACUACCUUUAUUUCCACCAUAGGAAUAGACUUCAAGAUCAAAACAGUUGAAUUACAAGGAAAGAAGAUCAAGCUACAGAUAUGCAUGCCAAUGAAGAUGUGGAAAGAAUGUUACUAGGAAACAAGUGUGAUAUGGACGACAAAAGAGUUGUACCUAAAGGAAAAGGAGAACAGAUUGCAAGGGAGCAUGGUAUUAGGUUUUUUGAGACUAGUGCAAAAGCAAAUAUAAACAUCGAAAAGGCGUUCCUCACGUUAGCUGAAGAUAUCCUUCGAAAGACCCCUGUAAAAGAGCCCAACAGUGAAAAUGUAGAUAUCAGCAGUGGAGGAGGCGUGACAGGCUGGAAGAGCAAAUGCUGCUGAGCAUUCUCCUGUUCCAUCAGUUGCCAUCCACUACCCCGUUUUCUCUUCUUGCUGCAAAAUAAACCACUCUGUCCAUUUUUAACUCUAAACAGAUAUUUUUGUUUCUCAUCUUAACUAUCCAAGCCACCUAUUUUAUUUGUUCUUUCAUCUGUAACUGCUUGCUGACUUUAUCAUAAUUUUCUUCAAACAAAAAAAUGUGACUUCAUUUUUAAAUGUACUUGCUCAGCUCAACUGCAUUUCAGUUGUAUUAUAGUCCAGUUCUUAUCAACAUUAAAACCUAUAGCAAUCAUUUCAAAUCUAUUCUGCA
rnacentral:sRNA from 1 species